rnacentral:rRNA from 1 species
UACGGGGGGGGGCAAGCGUUGUUCGGAAUUACUGGGCGUAAAGGGCGCGUAGGUGGCCAACUAAGUCAGACGUGAAAUCCCUCGGCUUAACCGGGGAACUGCGUCUGAUACUGGAUGGCUUGAGUGUGGGAGAGGGAUGCGGAAUUCCAGGUGGUGACGGUGAAAUGCGUAGAUAUCUGGAGGAACACCGGUGGCGAAGGCGGCAUCCUGGACCACGACUGACACUGAAACGCGAAAGCCAGGGGAGCAAACGGG